UACGUAGGGUGCGAGCGUUGCCCGGAUUUAUUGGGCGUAAAGGGCGCGUAGGCGGCUGUACAAGUCAAAGGUGAAAUCCCUCGGCUCAACUGAGGAACUGCCUUUGAAACUGUACGGCUUGAGGCCGGGAGGGGGUAGCGGAAUUCCCAGUGUAGCGGUGAAAUGCGUAGAUACUGGGAGGAACACCAGUGGCGAAGGCGGCUACCUGGACCGGUUCUGACGCUGAGGCGCGAAAGCGUGGGGAGCAAACGGG
rnacentral:rRNA from 1 species